rnacentral:misc_RNA from 1 species
GGGGUCCGUAAGGGUUAAUCGCAGAUCAGCAAUGCUGCGGUGAAUACGUUCCCGGGCCUUGUACACACCGCCCGUCACGUCACGAAAGUCGGUAACACCCGAAGCCGGUGGCCCAACCCUUGUGGGGGGAGCCGUCGAAGGUGGGACCGGCGAUUGGGACGAAGUCGUAACAAGGUGGCGGUACCGGAAGGUGCGGCUGGAUCACCUCCUUUCUAAGGAGCGUCUGGCUGGUUCGUCCUGUUGGGGAUGGGCUGGUUCAGGGCCAGGGCCGGAUGUGUAGGCCGGUCUGGUUGCUCAAGGGUGUGGACGCUGACGAUGGGCUGCUGGUUGGUGCUGGGUGUUCUAGUACUCCUGUGUUUCUGGUGUUCUGUUCUCUUCGGAGGGUGGGGUGCUGGGGGUGUGGGGUGGAGGGGAUGUCUGGUGGUGGCUGGUGGUUCGUGGCACGCUGUUGGGUCCUGAGGGAGUUAGGCCUGUGGGUCUGGUUCCUUCUUUUUCUAUGUGCUGCUGUCUGUCCCUGUGGGGGUGGGUGGUGGCGCUGGUUCGUCUGUGGUGGGGUACCCCACGUCCUUACGGACCCC